ensembl:snRNA U6 U6 spliceosomal RNA
GUGCUCACUUUGGCAGCACUAAAAUUGGAACGAUACAGAGAUUAACAUGGCCCCUGUGCAAAGAUGACAUGCAAAUUUGUGAAGAGUUCCAUAUUUUA